rnacentral:rRNA from 1 species
ACGACUCCCUCCACAAGGGUUAGGCCAUCGGCUUCGGGUGUUACCAACUUUCGUGACUUGACGGGCGGUGUGUACAAGGCCCGGGAACGUAUUCACCGCAGCGUUGCUGAUCUGCGAUUACUAGCGACUCCGACUUCAUGGGGUCGAGUUGCAGACCCCAAUCCGAACUGAGACCGGCUUUUUGGGAUUAGCUCCACCUCACAGUAUCGCAACCCAUUGUACCGGCCAUUGUAGCAUGCGUGAAGCCCAAGACAUAAGGGGCAUGAUGAUUUGACGUCAUCCCCACCUUCCUCCGAGUUGACCCCGGCAGUCUCCUAUGAGUCCCCACCAUCACGUGCUGGCAACAUAGAACGAGGGUUGCGCUCGUUGCGGGACUUAACCCAACAUCUCACGACACGAGCUGACGACAACCAUGCACCACCUGUACACCAGCCCCAAAGGGGAAACAACAUCUCUGCUGCGAUCCGGUGUAUGUCAAGCCUUGGUAAGGUUCUUCGCGUUGCAUCGAAUUAAUCCGCAUGCUCCGCCGCUUGUGCGGGCCCCCGUCAAUUCCUUUGAGUUUUAGCCUUGCGGCCGUACUCCCCAGGCGGGGCACUUAAUGCGUUAGCUACGGCGCGGAAAACGUGGAAUGUCCCCCACACCUAGUGCCCAACGUUUACGGCAUGGACUACCAGGGUAUCUAAUCCUGUUCGCUCCCCAUGCUUUCGCUCCUCAGCGUCAGUAACAGCCCAGAGACCUGCCUUCGCCAUCGGUGUUCCUCCUGAUAUCUGCGCAUUUCACCGCUACACCAGGAAUUCCAGUCUCCCCUACUGCACUCUAGCCCUGCCCGUACCCACUGC